GAUGAACGCUGGCGGCGUGCUUAACACAUGCAAGUCGAACGGUGAAGGCGGAACUUGCUCUGCUGGAUCAGUGGCGAACGGGUGAGUAACACGUGAGCAAUCUGCCCCUGACUCUGGGAUAAGCGCUGGAAACGGCGUCUAAUACUGGAUACGAGCUGCGAAGGCAUCUUCAGCAGCUGGAAAGAAUUUCGGUCAGGGAUGAGCUCGCGGCCUAUCAGCUUGUUGGUGAGGUAAUGGCUCACCAAGGCGUCGACGGGUAGCCGGCCUGAGAGGGUGACCGGCCACACUGGGACUGAGACACGGCCCAGACUCCUACGGGAGGCAGCAGUGGGGAAUAUUGCACAAUGGGCGAAAGCCUGAUGCAGCAACGCCGCGUGAGGGACGACGGCCUUCGGGUUGUAAACCUCUUUUAGCAGGGAAGAAGCGAAAGUGACGGUACCUGCAGAAAAAGCGCCGGCUAACUACGUG
rnacentral:rRNA from 1 species